CCUCACUUCCUCCAUUCCCAGUUCCCACAUGGCCACAUCCAUUCCCAUUUCUUCCCUUUGGUGUACUAGCAUGAGCGAAAGUGAUGGAAGAGGAGGAGGAGGAGGAGCCAGCGAUGCGCAGCUCUGUACCGCAACAGCACAGGGCCUUUGAGGGAGCGAAAUCCCAAUGAUGCGCCAUCAUAGGUGUCGGCGGUGGGAUCCGCCGUUGCCCCAGCAAGAAAAAUCGCAGGGUGGCGCGGCUUCUCGAUGGGGGUGGAGGCACUGCUCCUCGAUGAGUGUUAGAUCUUCACUUUCUGCUUCGUGGUGAUGCAGCCUUCAGAUCCAGCAACAACGAUCGGAGUUGACGGCAAAUAUUUUGCACUUAAGGACCGUCAACACUAGCAUCCUCAUCAAAUGUUUCUUGGGAUUGUGGAACUGCGCAAUUGAUGCAAAGCAAUGUGCAAUUGCAGCUUUUUUUAAUGCUCUCUCUGCUUCUGCAUGUGCAAUUGUAAUUGCUAGCAUCCUCAUCAAAUGUUUCUUGGGAUCGUGGUGUUGGAAAUAUGUCCUAGAGACAAUUAUAUUUUUUUUAUUCAUGAUUAAUAAAGUGUUCCUUAAAUAUC